GAUGAACGCUGGCGGCGUGCCUAAUACAUGCAAGUCGAGCGAACAGACGAGGAGCUUGCUCCUCUGACGUUAGCGGCGGACGGGUGAGUAACACGUGGAUAACCUACCUAUAAGACUGGGAUAACUUCGGGAAACCGGAGCUAAUACCGGAUAAUAUAUUGAACCGCAUGGUUCAAUAGUGAAAGACGGUUUUGCUGUCACUUAUAGAUGGAUCCGCGCCGCAUUAGCUAGUUGGUAAGGUAACGGCUUACCAAGGCAACGAUGCGUAGCCGACCUGAGAGGGUGAUCGGCCACACUGGAACUGAGACACGGUCCAGACUCCUACGGGAGGCAGCAGUAGGGGAUCUUCCGCAAUGAGCGAAAGCCGGACGGAGCAACGCCGCGUGGGUGAUGAAGGUCUUCGUAUCGUAAAACUCUGUUAUUAUGGAAGAACAAAUGUGUAAGUAACUAUGCACGUCUUGACGGUACCUAAUCAGAAAGCCACGGCUAACUACGUG
rnacentral:rRNA from 1 species